GAUGAACGCUGGCGGCGUGCCUAAUACAUGCAAGUCGAGCGAACGGACGAGAAGCUUGCUUCUCUGAUGUUAGCGGCGGACGGGUGAGUAACACGUGGAUAACCUACCUAUAAGACUGGGAUAACUUCGGGAAACCGGAGCUAAUACCGGAUAAUAUUUUGAACCGCAUGGUUCAAAAGUGAAAGACGGUCUUGCUGUCACUUAUAGAUGGAUCCGCGCUGCAUUAGCUAGUUGGUAAGGUAACGGCUUACCAAGGCAACGAUGCAUAGCCGACCUGAGAGGGUGAUAGCCCACACUGGAACUGAGACACGGUCCAGACUCCUACGGGAGGCAGCAGUAGGGAAUCUUCCGCAGUGGGCGAGAGCCUGACGGAGCAACGCCGCGUGAGUGAUGAAGGUCUUCGGAGCGUAAAACUCUGUUAUUAGGGAAGAACAUAUGUGUAAGUAACUGUGCACAUCUUGACGGUACCUAAUCAGAAAGCCACGGCUAACUACGUG
rnacentral:rRNA from 1 species